rnacentral:rRNA from 1 species
AACGAACGCUGGCGGCAGGCUUAACACAUGCAAGUCGAACGCCCCGCAAGGGGAGUGGCAGACGGGUGAGUAACGCGUGGGAACAUACCCUUUGGUGCGGAACAACAACUGGAAACGGUUGCUAAUACCGCAUGAGCCCUACGGGGGAAAGAUUUAUCGCCAAGGGAUUGGCCCGCGUCGGAUUAGCUAGUUGGUGGGGUAAUGGCCUACCAAGGCGACGAUCCGUAGCUGGUCUGAGAGGAUGAUCAGCCACACUGGGACUGAGACACGGCCCAGACUCCUACGGGAGGCAGCAGUGGGGAAUAUUGGACAAUGGGCGCAAGCCUGAUCCAGCCAUGCCGCGUGAGUGAUGAAGGCCCUAGGGUUGUAAAGCUCUUUCAGCGAGGAGGAUAAUGACGUUACUCGCAGAAGAAGCCCCGGCUAACUUCGUGCCAGCCGCCGCCGUAA